rnacentral:tRNA from 1 species
GCUCAGCUGGUAGAGCAGAGGACUGAAAAUCCUCGUG